UGUGAGAGUGAUGAGUUGCACAAGUCAGUUGGGUGUUUGCUGCAGACAACCCGAUCCGACAUGAGGAGACAAAGUGUGCGCUGGGGCCAUCUGGCUAAAU